CUCGAGAAGAAAGGGACCAAGUCUAUUUGGAGGAGACAAGCGGACCUGAGCCUUAUUGUUUUGAGCUUGUGAGUUGCCUGAAACUCCCAGAACCGACCCAACAGAACCACCUCUGAAUGGUCCUCUGGUGUCUGCAGCUGGUCUCUGGUGUCGUCAGGAUCAGGAGCUUCCGGAAGAAUGUGCCUUUCAAUGACUCUUUCCCCCUUAUUUGUUAUAUUAAUUAAAUAAAUCUCAGUUUAUAUAUUUCCUGUUUUUGUUCAUGUCCAUAAAUACUUAAACAUGCUUGAAAUUAAAAUGAGCUUUUAACAGUGAGGUGCUAGUUUAAUUCAUCACAAUAGAGCUAGUUAAACAUGCCACAAAAAUGUGAUAAUCAAUGUAAUUUAUAAAUAUCCAUUAAAAUAUCAAAACGAAUCUAAAUGAGAUAUUUGGCAGCACAAAAAACUUGUCAAACAUAAUAUUUAUUAUAAUAAUAGUAGGCAGACAGGAGACAGAGCUGAUGGAGGUUCUCAGUCAUCAAAGGAUGGCUGAAGGCUUUCCAGGAACAGGAGAUGUGGUGUUGUCUCUUCUCUCUCUAUUCUGCCAGAUGAGCUGAUAGGUUACAGGUGUGUGAGGACAUCCUCAUGCUGUCAUAACCAGAUGACAGGAGUUAUCAGGUGAUCAGCCAGGCUAAUGAUGAGAUGCAGAAAGAAAAUAAAUCCAGGACAGUGUACAAUAAUAUGUGGUGUUGCUCACCUUAUGUGCUCUUAUAGAAUAUUAACGUGUGCCUGCCUCAUGGUGUAGAGUCCAUAUUUUGCUGAGUGUCCUGCAAUAAUGCAGGUUAUUAGUUAAAUUACUUUUGAUAGCAAAAACAAAAUAUUUAAUGUAAAAGUUAUUUACCAGGUGAAUCAGCUCACACGUCACCACCAAGUGUCACAGGGGCAGAAUCAGUAGCCUCUGUCAUGAUGUAAUCACAUACUUAUUUAAUUGUUAAUAUCUUAAAAAUUCUGAAAUGUUUUAAUUUUUUUUUUUACCUUGAACAGUUCACUGAGCUUGCACUGUCACUGAGGUGGAAGCUGGAAUCAACAGCAGACACCUUACAUCUUGGUCUUUUCAGGGU